ACUGGCUGGUCUACUAGAAUUUGAGCUAAGAUUCUUGGUAAAGUCAAUUAUGAAUUCAAAAAUAUGUUCAGUGAGUGGCCUUACCAUAUUAAUAUAGGGAUAUUAGUGAACAGCAUGUAGCAGCUAUAUGUUCAUGACACGCGGACUCUUUACACGUUAUCAGAGAUAGUUAUUACUGACUCAAAAGUCUUCAAGGUGGUUACAAGUAAAUUGCCAUGCAAGUAGUUGCAACUAUUAGACCACAUUCUUGUAGAUUACAAUUGAAUCAAGACUCAGCUAUUGGUUAACUAUCAGAUCUGAAGUAACAUACUCAAUUUGAGCAAAUGUCUGUUACAGGCCAUUAUAUAAAGAGACUUCCUCAAGAACAGGUGAAAUCUUUCCAAUCCCUUCAACUCUGUUUUCAUUUAGGUUUCCAUAUGCUUAUUCUCU
rnacentral:lncRNA from 1 species